ACCUGGUCUGAAGGUAGUGAGCUAUCUCACUGGAUUGUUCAAUCGGUCACAGAUUGAACUCCUUGCUCUACUACUUUUCCCCCUUCUCACUACUGCACUUGACUAGUCUUAA
rnacentral:Y_RNA from 1 species